AUUGACAUCCAGCUGCAGGUAAGAAGCACGCAAUGAUAAUGAACACGUGUGUACAUGAUGUUAUAACUUUUUUCAUCAUCAUGCAUGGAAUGGUGCUGAAGAGUAAUGGAAGCGAAAAGUUUCAGUUCUGGAAAUACAGACUUCUCGCCACAACAAACUCUACAACGAGAGACACAAUGAACACUACAGCUGCCUCGAAUAUAACAGCAAUCUGUAAUCAGCUUGAAGAAGCCGCUGAUGAAUAUGACUCAUGGGAACACGAACUAAUUUAGACUGGCGGAAAUGAAAGCAUAAAACAUCAUGUGAAGACAUACAAAAAGAAUUAAUAAGAGCCACCUGAGAUUGUAAAAAUGUUCUGGGUCUUUGUGCUUCUUCUGGUGUUUUUCAAUUAAGAGGCAAUAAAAGUCACUGGUAUAGACAAGAAUAA
rnacentral:misc_RNA from 1 species